UACGUAGGGGGCUAGCGUUGUCCGGAAUCAUUGGGCGUAAAGCGCGUGUAGGCGGUCCGGUAAGUCCGCUGUGAAAGUCGAGGGCUCAACCCUCGAAUGCCGGUGGAUACUGUCGGGCUUGAGUACGGGAGAGGCGAGUGGAAUUCCUGGUGUAGCGGUGGAAUGCGCAGAUAUCAGGAGGAACACCGAUGGCGAAGGCAGUUCUCUGGGCCGUAACUGACGCUGAGGAGCGAAAGCGUGGGGAGCGAACAGG
rnacentral:rRNA from 1 species